rnacentral:rRNA from 1 species
AUUGAACGCUGGCGGCAUGCCUUACACAUGCAAGUCGAACGGUAACGGGCCUUCGGGUGCCGACGAGUGGCGAACGGGUGAGUAAUGUAUCGGAACGUACCCUUCAGUGGGGGAUAACGUAGCGAAAGUUACGCUAAUACCGCAUAUUCUGUGAGCAGGAAAGCAGGGGAUCGCAAGACCUUGCGCUGAUUGAGCGGCCGAUAUCAGAUUAGCUAGUUGGUGAGGUAAAGGCUCACCAAGGCGACGAUCUGUAGCGGGUCUGAGAGGAUGAUCCGCAACACUGGAACUGAGACACGGUCCAGACUCCUACGGGAGGCAGAAGUGGGGAAUUGUGGACAAUGGGGCAACCCUGAUCCAGCCAUGCCGCGUGAGUGAAGAAGGCCUUCGGGUUGUAAGGCUCUUUCGGCCGGGAAGAAAUCGUAUCAGCUAAUACCUGGUGCGGAUGACGGUACCGGCAUAAGAAGCACCGGCUAACUACGUGCCAGCCGCCGCCGUAAUAC